AUACGAAUCACCUGGAGAUCUUGUUGGAAUGCAGAUUCUGAUCCAGUAGACUUGGAGCCCAGAGACUCUGCAUUUCUGACAAGCUCUCAGGUCAUGCUGAU
rnacentral:pre_miRNA from 1 species